rnacentral:rRNA from 1 species
AUACGUAGGUGGCGAGCGUUAUCCGGAAUUACUGGGUGUAAAGGGUGUGUAGGCGGGAAGGCAAGUCGGAUGUGAAAAUUAUGGGCUCAACCCAUAAAGUGCGACCGAAACUGUUUUUCUUGAGGAUCGGAGAGGUAAUGAGAAUUCCCGGUGUCGCGGUGAAAUGCGCAGAGAUCGGGAGGAAUACCGGUGGCGAAGGCGAAUUACUGGACGAUAACUGACGCUGAGACACGAAAGCGUGGGGAGCAAACAGGAUUAGAUACCCUGGUAGUCCACGCCCUAAACGAUGAAUGCUAGGUGUAGGGGAGUCAUCUUCUGUGCCGCAGCUAACGCAAUAAGCAUUCCACCUGGGGAGUACGGCCGCAAGGUUGAAACUCAAAUGAAUUGACGGGG